rnacentral:rRNA from 1 species
UACAGAGGGUGCAAGCGUUAAUCGGAAUUACUGGGCGUAAAGCGUGCGUAGGCGGUUCGUUGUGUCUGUGGUGAAAGCCCCGGGCUUAACCUGGGAAUGGCCAUGGAAACUGGCGAGCUGGAGUGUGGCAGAGGGGGUGGGAAUUCCGCGUGUAGCAGUGAAAUGCGUAGAGAUGCGGAGGAACACCGAUGGCGAAGGCAGCCCCCUGGGCUAACACUGACGCUGAGGCACGAAAGCGUGGGGAGCAAACAGG